UACGAACUGUGCAACCGUUAUUCGGAUUCACUGGGCUUAAAGGGUGCGUAGGCGGCCAUGUAAGUAGGGUGUGAAAUCCCCCGGCUUAACCGGGGAACUGCGCCCUAAACUGUAUGGCUGGAGUGAGAUAGGGGUGUGUGGAACUUCCGGUGGAGCGGUGAAAUGUGUUGAUAUCGGAAGGAACGCCGGUGGCGAAAGCGACACACUGGGUCUCAACUGACGCUGAGGCACGAAAGCCAGGGGAGCGAACGGG
rnacentral:rRNA from 1 species